rnacentral:rRNA from 1 species
CGGCUAAUUGCGUGCCUGCUGCCGGCGGUAUACGUGGGGAGCAAAUGUGGUUCGGAAUCACGGUGGGGAGAGGGUGGGUAGGGGGUUCGGUAAGUGGAAUGUGAAAGCCCCCGGCUCACCCGGGGAACUGCAUCCCAUACUGCUGGACUUGAGUGCGGGAGAGGAUGGAGGAAUUCCUGGUGUAGCGGUGAAAUGCGUAGAUAUCAGGAGGAACACCUGUGGCGAAGGCGUCCAUCUGGCCCGUUACUGACGCUGAUGCGCGAAAGCUAGGGGAGCAAACGGGAUUAGAUACCCCGGAGUC